UUCUGAUAUUUUGAUCUGAGACUGAGAGAGACUUCUCUGCUGAACUAUCUCGAUCUAGAGACGUCGGCUCAUUUCCAUCGGAGAUUCUGAGAUUUUGCUGCAAAAUGGAGGACAUGGGAGGCCGACAUGGACUAACGAUUCGAAGAUGGAGGUUUAUGGGGAGGCCAGCAUACGAACAGUCGUCGUCGUCGCCCUUGGUGUUCGCAUCACGAGGGAUCUGCGGGAACUUUGCAUGAAAUUUUCGAAAGCGUAGCAUCGAAGAAAUUUGUGCAUACGAACCGUCGUCGUCGGCCUUGGUGCUCUCGAUCUGCGAGAAAUUUGCAUGAAAUAUCGCAGAAGCUUGUCAUCGGCCUCGAUCUCCGAGACCUUGGCUGGGUUGCGUAAAGAGAAGCAUCUUCAGACCCAUUCAUUGCAUAGCUUCCACUUCCAGCGAAGAUCUUCAGCCCUUAUGUAAAGGUUGAAAAUG